rnacentral:snRNA from 2 species
CAACUCCGGUUCCCUUUCAAAUCGAAAAAAUCUUUCGCCUUUUACUAAAGAUUUCCGUGGAGGGGAGCACGCAAAGAGUCUAGAAAAUUAAUUUUUUCAAUUGCCUGAUCAUCUGGUCGGGCU